rnacentral:rRNA from 1 species
CCAGACUCCUACGGGAGGCAGCAGUGGGGGAUAUUGCACAAUGGGGGGAACCCUGAUGCAGCGACGCCGCGUGGGUGAAGAAGCGCCUCGGCGCGUAAAGCCCUGUCAGCAGGGAAGAAAAUGACGGUACCUGAAGAAGAAGCCCCGGCUAACUACGUGCCAGCAGCCGCGGUAAUACGUAGGGGGCAAGCGUUAUCCGGAUUUACUGGGUGUAAAGGGAGCGUAGACGGCAUGGCAAGUCUGAUGUGAAAACCCGGGGCUCAACCCCGGGACUGCAUUGGAAACUGUCAGGCUAGGGUGUCGGAGAGGCAAGUGGAAUUCCUAGUGUAGCGGUGAAAUGCGUAGAUAUUAGGAGGAACACCAGUGGCGAAGGCGGCUUGCUGGACGAUGACUGACGUUGAGGCUCGAAAGCGUGGGGAGCAAACAGGAUUAGAUACCCCAGUAAU